GACGAACGCUGGCGGCGUGCCUAAUACAUGCAAGUCGACCUUAGUGGCGCACGGGUGAGUAACACGUGGGUAACCUGCCCAUAAGAAGGGGAUAACACUUGGAAACAGGUGCUAUUACCGUAUACUGAAGGAUGGACCCGCGGUGUAUUAGCGAGUUGGUGAGGGAACGGCUCACCAAGGCCACGUUGCAGAGCCGACCUACGAGGGGGAUCGGCAACAUUGGGCAUGAGACUCGUCCCAAACUCCUACGGGAGGCAGUAGUAGGGAAUCUUCGGCAAGGGACGAAAGUCUGACCGAGCAACUCCGCGUGAGUGAAGAAGGUUUUCGGAUCGUAAAACUCUGUUGUUAGAGAAGCGGUAUCUAACCAGAAAGCCACGGCUAACUACGUGCCAGCAGCCGCGGUAAUAC
rnacentral:rRNA from 1 species